UCUCAGUCUGCAGGGGACAGCUGUCAGCAUGACACCUGUCAGCUUGCUGUGGGCAGCUCUGCUCUCCACCUGUCUCGGAGCCAGCGUGGCCCAGAUGGUCACUCAGCCUCAGCCAGAAGUGUCUGUGCGCGAGGCACAGACUGCCACCCUGGACUGUACGUAUAACACGGUUCAGAGUGACUACUAUUUGUUCUGGUACAAGCAGCCUCCCAGCGGGGAGACGAUUUUCAUUAUUCACCAAGAAGCUUAUAAGCAACAGAAUGCAACAGCUAAUCGCUACUCUGUGAACUUCCAGAAAGCAGCCAAAUCCUUCAGUCUCAGGAUCUCAGACUCCCAGCUGGAGGAUGCUGCGAUGUAUUUUUGCGCUUACACUGGCCCACAGUGAGAUGAGCAACGGGGAGAGGCUUACAGAAACCUCAGGCCUCAGCGUCUGUGCAGAGAUCAGGGGCGAAGUAGUUGGGGUAAGAGGA